UACGUAGGGAGCAAGCGUUGUUCGGACUUACUGGGCGUAAAGGGCGCGUAGGCGGCGCGGUAAGUCACUUGUGAAAUCUCUGAGCUUAACUCAGAGCGGCCAAGUGAUACUGCAGUGCUAGAGUGCAGAAGGGGCAAUCGGAAUUCCUGGUGUAGCAGUGAAAUGCGUAGAUAUCAAGAGGAACACCUGAGGUGAAGACGGGUUGCUGGGCUGACACUGACGCUGAGGAGCGAAAGCGUGGGGAGCGAACAGG
rnacentral:rRNA from 1 species